rnacentral:rRNA from 1 species
AGGGAAUCUUCCACAAUGGACGCAAGUCUGAUGGAGCAACGCCGCGUGAGUGAAGAAGGUUUUCGGACCGUAAAGCUCUGUUGUUGGUGAAGAAGGAUAGAGGUAGUAACUGGCCUUUAUUUGACGGUAAUCAACCAGAAAGUCACGGCUAACUACGUGCCAGCAGCCGCGGUAAUACGUAGGUGGCAAGCGUUGUCCGGAUUUAUUGGGCGUAAAGCGAGCGCAGGCGGAAGAAUAAGUCUGAUGUGAAAGCCCUCGGCUUAACCGAGGAAUUGCAUCGGAAACUGUUUUCUUGAGUGCAGAAGAGGAGAGUAGAACUCCAUGUGUAGCGGUGGAAUGCGUAGAUAUAUGGAAGAAUACCAGUGGCGAAGGCGGCUCUCUGGUCUGCAACUGACGCUGAGGCUCGAAAGCAUGGGUAGCGAACAGGAUUAGAUACCCUGGUAGUCCAUGCCGUAAACGAUGAGUGCUAAGUGUUGGGAGGCUUCCGCCUCUCAGUGCUGCAGCUAACGCAUUAAGCACUCCGCCUGGGGGAGUACGACC